rnacentral:lncRNA from 1 species
UGCCUGGCUUAGAAUGUAUUUCAUGGUCAGUAGAAAAAAAUGAGGAAGACAAGGGUGCGGCUGCUGCUUUUAGAGGCUCUGGCCAUGCAAACAGAGAUUGGCUUUGAAGUUGCAGUCCUUCAUCGUUACAAAAAGAAGAAUUUUAGGGGGGAAAAUGUGCGUUGCUCCUCUGAAGCUGAAUCCUCAGGCAUUUGUGGCCCGUCUUUGCAGUCCGAUAUGUUUUUUUUCGUGCUUGCAGCGUUGUUAAACAUCAGUGUGCAGAGCAGUUACAACGCAGCUGGUAACACGGCCGUGGGGUUUUUUGCCACUCGUACGCCUGUGCACCAAUGUACACGCUCGCCCUUCUUCACUAAUAUUCCUGAGUGCCUGGAUGUAGCUCCCCUGUCUGUGUGA